GAAUUGUACAGCUAUACAAUGGCUUGAAAAUGAAUAGUAUUGAAAAAAAGCAAUAUUAAUAAAUCUCAAAAAUGUUUAUUAUAUAUGUUUUGAGAAAUUAGUCAAUACACAUUUCAUUUUGCAGUUUAUUUCAUAUGUAAACAUACACAUAAAAACAAUAUGGAUACCUGUACAGUUAUAUCCAUGCAAUACAUUUUCCACACAUUUAAAAAAUAAGUGGUAAGAAUUUAUCUAUCAUCUUGCAUCAUGCCCAAAUUCAUUAUGUACAUUAUGUAGUAUAUAAAUGUGCAGCAAUGAGAGGUGGAAAUAGGCCUUUCUGCUGGUUUUCGGUCAGAUUGUGAUGUGGAUUCACCAAAAGGUGACUGUUGUACAUAGAAGAAAAUGAGAAGAUUAUUAGAAGAAAUUAUAACUUCAUAAUCAUUAUCUUUAUUAUUUAGUUUACAAAGUAUUAAUAUAUCUGGCACUACUGCAAUCAAAUGCCCUAAUAUUUCUGUUCAACAAUGUCUCAAGUACUCUUCGUUUUAUGCGUGUAUAUGGUGCUUGACCCUUUCAGUUUUCAUUCAUGUAAAUGUAACUGAAUGAUUUGCUAGACAUUCUUCGCCUUUGGGAUACUAUUGCAGCCCAGAACAUGAUGACAUACCAUUUGUAGAAGUAGACAACUGAGGGUAUUUUGAGCUGGUUGUUAAAACCAUUUUAUCACAAAUGCUGGCCACAUUUAGUAAUGAUAUUUUCAUUUGUGUUUUUUCAAACAUACACGAUUUCCAUUUUUAAGAGCAUUUCAUAAUCCACAUAUGUUUUAGUUCAAUAAAGCCCCGAUAUUUUUUUAAUUAGCAUCUCAUAUAUGUAACAUUACCAUGUACUGGUUUUCAGUUUUUUUUGGAAAUUUACAGGGCCAAAUAUAUUACAUGCCCUUUCAAACUUGUACAUUUUACAAAUUUGAUUUUCUGGGCCUAAGUUGCCUUUAAUUAUUGCAGUCUAGCAAAAAAAAUAUUCACUGUUAUGGCAUACCAUUUUCAAAAGUAGACAACACAGGGGAUUGAGAAUGUAUGGGGUAUUUUGAGUUGAUUGGUGUAGCCACGUUAUCAUGACCUUUGAUUAGCUUGCCUUAACAUAACCAGGCAUGGGCCAAGAUCAAGGGAUUCAGAACAAGCCAAAGUCAUGAAUUCAGAACAAAUAAAUCAAGUCACAUACACAGUCAUUUGAUUCAAUAGUUUAGGUUAGAUAAAAAAUGGGUACCCCUACUACCGGUUGAAUCGUACUCGGAUCAACCAGCUUUGGGGCCCAAAGAAAACACACCUGUAUGGACACUCCAGAGAUGUCCUGGGGCUUAACCCCUUAGAUAAAUAUCAAAAAAAUAGAGCUCUAGAUACUGGAUCCGCAGAACCAGCACUAUGAGCACAAACUGGAGUAUAAAGAAUAUAUAGAUUGAUAUGAAUAAAAAUAAUAAAUAAUAAAUAAUCCUGUUCCUUAUCUAUAAAGUAAUCCCAGUGCAAAACAGUGUUACUAGCCUAAUAGUUUAGGUUAGUAUGAUAGACUCUAAAACAGCCUGUAAUGAAUAGGCCAGCUAGAGAUGGCCAGAAAGAGCAGUAGUAGCUAGAGACCAUCUCAACUUUUUUUUUGUAACAGACUCAACAGUUUCUCCGAGUAGACUUUGUUUCAGACUGAGGGGGAGGAUCCUAGAAGGAAAUUGCUUACCACAAAUUGAUUCCCUGUUUCCAAUGUGGAGGGCUUGGGGACUGGUUAAAUACAAUAUCUGCUAAAAACUUUAUUGUAAAUUCUUGUAUAGCUUGUAUAGGGUUUUGGACUUGCUGUGAACCAACUAUAGUUGUAUGCAUUAAUCAGCCAAAUAUUUUCCAGCCCAUUUAUUCUGUGUUUAGAUUUCCCCGCACAUAGUCCUGCUUUCUUGCGCAUGCUCGCUAGUGCAUCCUAACUUACCGACCAAUUUGUUUUUUACGACCAGGUCGGAAGAACAAAACCUGGUCGGUAAGUGAGGAGGGCCUGUAUUAAGCAAGAUAACUGAAUGGCUCUUAAAGUGGCUCUGUCACCUCAAAUUGUUCCUUUUGUUUCCUCUUCUCUUUCUCUGUAACUUUGCUGUGCCUGACAAAUCUUGACAAGGGGUGGAGUUUAAGGCAAGCUCAACCUCUGUAAUAUUUGCAUAUAUAUGUUCCAACCAAUCACAAAGCAGUAUUCAAGCUGUGGGAUGAUUGUUUACUCUACCUGGUUUCAGCGGAGUCAGUUUGAAUAAUGCAGCCUUUCUGUGAGUCACAGUUACUUUCACCUCUCUGCUGUAUUCAACAAACUGACACCUACAAUUGGUAUCCGAGCUUCAUUGGCACAUACGCUUCAUUAACACGACAACAAAAUAUUACAACUUCCUUUGUUAAGUUUGUCAAACUAGCAAAGGAAUUGGAGCUUGCCUUAAGCUCCACUUUUUGUCAAGAUUUGUCAGAUGUAGGGAAAAUACAUGUGACAAAGCAGUCCCUAUUUUGUCUUCUGUUUUUUUAAGAGAAGUAGAUCAAAAAGGAAGGAGAGAAAAACAUAUUCUGAGAGACAAAGAGAAGAGGAAACAAUAGGAGAAAGCCAGGUUUGAGGUGACAGAGCCACUUUAUGGCUAUGCAGUAUCUCGGCACAUAUUCAAGCCCCUCUACUGUAGUAUUAACUCCUGGCAGUCACAAUGUAUCCUUCCACACUUU